GAAUAUACUUCUGUUCAAACACAUGCUGUCUCUGAGCGCACUUUUCCUCCAUCAAGAUGGUCGCUGGUGUCCGAGUGGAUUCAACAUACUUCAUGUUGGAAGGAGACAUACAGCAAGUUGCUGGAUUAGGAUAUUAUUAUAAAUGAUGCAGCACGUGCUUAACUAAGCACCUCCUCGGUGUAUCGACAGAGGACUUGUUUGGACUAGUUUCCCGCCCUAGUUUGAACAAGGUGGAUGUAUUUUGUUGUUCGCAUGGUACAAGUUUCCGAAGUGUUUGCUGAGUAGCACUUUACAAACCAGAAUCUACCAAACACACUAUGCAGAACUUGAUUGGCACAGUCUUCGCUGAUGACUUUAUAUCGUCAGAAGGCAUUGGAGUCGGAAAAGACUUCUGGUGAACUUGCUGAGAUUCUCUUGAUUCGUUACUUAAAAGGAUCAACAUAGUGUCGAACCACUGUGCUUCAUGCACUUCCUGUGCUGCUGAGAGAAGACGCCUCAAGAUUCUUCAAAGCAUGCGGGGGCUGAAGAUUCAGAAGAGCCAAAUGAUGGAUAUUCACCAGUUGCCCUGUAAACAGCGGUCAGAGAACUCACAGAUGCUGAAAUUAACUACAAUCUGGUUAGAAAUGUCAUUGUUCUUGAAAGUGAAGUCAUCUCCCACAUGCCCAGGCUUUUCAGAUUUCUUUUUAUGUUUGGACUGAUUUAUGCAUUGGAUCUGAGUUACUCAAAAGAGUUUUAAAGACAGGUGGCUUUAUAAGGUUUUAACGUUGACGGAUGUGCAACACUAAUGCAGCCGUAGACAAUUUAUCCUGUCGCUGUCAAAUGUUUUUUUUUUUUUCUAGUGUUGUGCCUCAUGUUUUGUCAAUAAUUUUACCUUGUCUUUCUAUAUUAAAUAUGUUUACUACAUGCAGUUUGCUUAUAUAAGUUGCAAAAUUCUCACAUUUAAGGAAACUUAAAAAAAUAAAUAAAAAAAGGCAGUUGCAAAACAUUAAGUAAUACUACUAGCACAUUUCAAGUCACCUAAAAUUAUAGUUUAAGUUAAAAUGGCUUUAAAAAAUCAAUACAAAGCAUAUUCAUGAUUUCAAAAACAUAUUUUAUGUUGUAUAAAUAUAUUAAAGGUGCAGUAUGUAAGAUUCAGAAACCCUUGUUAUUAAUGACACCUGUGGCCGUUAAGUGAACUGCGGCCAGCUACCUGUUGCUCGUGCUCGCACUCGUGCACACACUCCAUAGGGACGUGAGCCAGCGAGCAUUGGCCAAAACAAUGAUGUAAUGUACAAAGAGAAUGAACGUGAUUCACUGGCAUCAUGCUGACAGGUAGCAUAAAUAAAAUUACACAGUUACGAUUGUCUUACUACAAACUUUGAGACUAAACUAAAACUACUUAUCAGCUAACAUGGCAUUCUGAUACACAUAUACAGCUACAUACUACCGAACUAUACCAGACAGUUUACUGUUGCACUGCACUGUUAUGUUGCUCUAUAGUAUGUUUUGUAUGUCAUAUGUUGUACCACGAUCAAGAAACCAGCAUAUUUGCUUAAAUUUAUCCUGUAUACCUGACUUUUAGUAUAAAGAGAAGAUCGUUGAAAUUAUUUGAAAGUUACGAAGCAAGGUAGCUUGCAAUUCGUCAGCAUUAGCAGGCAAGAUCAAGUUAGCUAAAAUUACAUGGAUCAGUCCUUAUGGCACUAUAUUUCACUUGCUUUGCUGUUAUGUAAGCUUAUCUGUCCAAUAAGAAGAACGCCAAUUCAGGGUUAGUUUUGAUCCUCAAAACCGAAUGAAGGUCCUUCCAGUAAUCAAAUGCCCUGCUGAUGUUCACUCUAGUUUUCGCUCGACCACGAUCACGUUCCCGCUUAGCCAGACUGUUUGUUGUCGCUGUUGAAUAGCGGAAGAGAAGCACUGAGGCAAGGCUCUUGGAAGCACACAUAAACAUCACAUCCUUUGGAUUGUCCCGGCAAAAGCGACCUGCUUCCUUCGCAUGAGAAUCAGUCUACAGGCUUAAAUAGGCAACCUAGGUGAUCCGGGAAGGGCUCAUUUUUUAAGUUGCAUUACAAGCCGUUCAGACAUUGGCAAAAAAAAAAGGCGAAUAUAACAUGAAAUUGUUACAUACUGCACCUUUAAGUUUGCAGAACUUUAAAUUUUGAGUUGUGGUUAAUUAAAAUAAACAUUAGUAAUUGCAUAUUUUGACUGGACCAAAAUCAUUUCUUUUAAUUUAUAGUUUCUGAGGAAAAACAAGUUAUGCAUACUUGAGACUUAAGUUUUGAUACUUGUAAAAGUAAAGGCAAUGAGUUGCCUCAAAUGUUUUAAGUAAGUAGAACUUAUAUGGAUUUACAGUGUAUUUAAACCCUCCAAAAAUUGGCCCCAUUUACCUCCAUUGUAAGAAAAAGAAAAGGAAGGACGAGUCAGAAUAGUUUUGUGGUAAUCAACACUGACACAAAUGCUUUUGAUUGAGCUUAACUUGUAUUGAACCUGUUUUCCCUUAAGUUUUGAAUGUGGUAUGUACAACAGACUUCAGAACUUUUUUCCAAUAAAUGGAUUAGGUUCAUACUGUGUGCUGCCUCUGCAGUCUCGUUUGACAGUCACUGAAGAAUAAAGUUUUAAUUAGCGAUUAUUUUUUCACACAAACGUAUUGAUUCACUUCAGAAGACAUUACUUGAUCGGCUGGAGUCGUGUGGAUUACUUUGAUGCUGACUAAGUGGUUUUUGGACCGUCAAAAAUUGGUGUCCAUUCACUUGCAUUGCAUGAAGCUAAAAACCUGGGAUAAAAAGGCACAAAAAGGCCAUAGUAUUUUUUUUCAGGGGCAAAAAGAACAACAAAAGCUGUUGUUCCCAGAGCAAAAACAUUUAAGAGAUUGGUUUGUCAGCUUUAAAAAAUGAACCAGUUAAAAAAGCAACAAAAGUGUUAAGUAUGAAAAAUAUGCUUAAGCAUUUAAAGCUGUUGCUAAUGAGUUCUUGUAAUAUGUUGUUUUGUAAGUUGUUUUUGUGAAGUAUAAUAAAUAA